GCAGGGGUACCAAAGCCUGGUCAACUGGACGGGACUCAAGAUCCCGUCUCUUAGGAGUUCGUGGGUUCAAAUCCCACCCCCUGCA
rnacentral:tRNA from 1 species